rnacentral:rRNA from 1 species
UUAAUGUGCAGUUCGAACGAUGAACCACCUUCGGGUGGGGAUUAGUGGCGAACGGGUGAGUAACACGUGGGCAAUCUGCCCUGCACUCUGGGACAAGCCCUGGAAACGGGGUCUAAUACCGGAUACUGAGCCGCGCGGGCAUCUGCGGGGUUCGAAAGCUCCGGCGGUGCAGGAUGAGCCCGCGGCCUAUCAGCUUGUUGGUGAGGUAACGGCUCACCAAGGCGACGACGGGUAGCCGGCCUGAGAGGGCGACCGGCCAAACUGGGACUGAGACACGGCCCAGACUCCUACGGGAGGCAGCAGUGGGGAAUAUUGCACAAUGGGCGAAAGCCUGAUGCAGCGACGCCGCGUGAGGGAUGACGGCCUUCGGGUUGUAAACCUCUUUCAGCAGGGAAGAAGCGAAAGUGACGGUACCUGCAGAAGAAGCGCCGGCUAACUACGUGCCAGCAGCCGCGGUAAUACGUAGGGCGCGAGCGUUGUCCGGAAUUAUUGGGCGUAAAGAGCUCGUAGGCGGCUUGUCGCGUCGGUUGUGAAAGCCCGGGGCUUAACCCCGGGUCUGCAGUCGAUACGGGCAGGCUAGAGUUCGGUAGGGGAGAUCGGAAUUCCUGGUGUAGCGGUGAAAUGCGCAGAUAUCAGGAGGAACACCGGUGGCGAAGGCGGAUCUCUGGGCCGAUACUGACGCUGAGGAGCGAAAGCGUGGGGAGCGAACAGGAUUAGAUACCCUGGUAGUCCACGCCGUAAACGGUGGGCACUAGGUGUGGGCGACAUUCCCCGUCCUCCGUGCCGCACCUAACGCAUUUAUGUGCCCCGCCCUGGGGAAGUACGGGCCGCCAGGCUUUAAAACUUCUAGGGAAUU